rnacentral:rRNA from 1 species
CAGCCGCCGCGGUAAUACAGAGGGUGCGAGCGUUAAUCGGAUUUACUGGGCGUAAAGCGUGCGUAGGCGGCUUUUUAAGUCGGAUGUGAAAUCCCUGAGCUUAACUUAGGAAUUGCAUUCGAUACUGGGAAGCUAGAGUAUGGGAGAGGAUGGUAGAAUUCCAGGUGUAGCGGUGAAAUGCGUAGAGAUCUGGAGGAAUACCGAUGGCGAAGGCAGCCAUCUGGCCUAAUACUGACGCUGAGGUACGAAAGCAUGGGGAGCAAACAGGAUUAGAGACCCGAGUAGUCCCUGUCUCUUAUAC